UAGGGGCCCCCAAGGGAGAGGGCAUGGGCGAAGGGUAACAGACUGUCUUUAUCCUCCAGCUGGAUCUCAUUUGCCAAAUCCUGGAAACCAGCUGGAGGAAACAUCAUCUUCACCCCUCGGUUCUCCACUUCAGCAAGCAGGCCAGUGCUGCUGAAUUUACAGUCUUUCACAUCAUGACCAGGAUUCUGGAAGCUACUACGAGUUUGUUUUUACCUCUGCCUCCUGCCAAUAUGUAGAUGGUGCCCGUUUUGUGCCAGUUGCUGUAAGUACUUUACAUAAGUAAGCACAUUCAAUUUUCCUAACAGUCCUAAAUGGUAGGAGCUUAACACGAACCACAUUAAAUUGUCAAUAUCCAACCAGUUUUUGACUUAAAAAAA